AUUCCUUUCUUCUACAUUCUAUUACUGAGAAUUAGAAUGAAAAUGUUGAUUCAAGUGAAAUGCCGCAUAUCCUUAAUCCCAGCACUCUGAAGGGAGGCAGGAGGAUCAAGAGUUCAAAGCCAUGAGAGUUCCUUUAUGGAUAUAAAAGAGAAGGAACAACACAAAAGAAAGUUUCCUACACAAACCAUUAGCUGAGCUCCCUGCCGCCUGUCUCUCCAGAUCUUAUGUUCUUGGAAGUUUAAGUAAUCAUUUCUCAGAGAUGCUAUAAGAAGGUACCAGAAAUUGUGUAGCUUGAACAACAGAAAUCAAUGAUCUCAGAAUUCUGGAGGCUGGAAGCUCAAGGAUUUGGUGUCACCAGAGCUGACUCCCUCUGAAGGCUGUGAGAAUCUGUUCCCCACUUGUCGUCUACCUUCUGGAUUGCUUCUUAUCUUUGGUGUUCUUUGACUUGUAGGGGCAUCAUUCUGAUUGCCUUCAGUGUCACAGGCAUCCAUCCCUGUCCCCAUGACACCAAUAUUGCAUCCUUUUUAAUAAAGACAUCAGUAAUAGUGGG
rnacentral:lncRNA from 1 species